UCUAUCCGCUUCUGGAGGGUAGAGAACCCAGGACCUUCAGGUUGAACAAAGGAGAGAGACCCCCUUUUUCCCUCCAGUUUGUUUACCAAUGAACGAACGCGUGUCUCUACGGCAGAGUGGGGGCAAAAUAAAGGCAGCCUGCGCUUAAAUAGAAGCAAAGUCAAAUUCAAAUUAAAAGAAAAAUAAAUAAAGAAUUGGACACUUUCUAAGUAAUCUAAGGAGAUGCUAAGGAGUGCUUACCAACAAAUAAUAAGGAUCCUAAUGGCAAGGGGGGAAUGAGCCAGGCGGCGGGAAUCUCAAGAUCAUGACGAAGGAUUGCAAACCUUCAAAGGGUUCAUAGUCAUUUUCAAGGGGAAGAGGAAUGUGCAAACCGCACUGUGGCGAAACCUGUCAAGUAAUUUGAUUUUUAUCCUCUUCAUAGACCCACACACCGCCAAGGAAGUCUCAGUAGGUACAGAGUUAUACCCAUAGCCCUGAAGACAAGGCAGAGGUGUUUCCAAAUGUGCCAAGCUGGUAAAUAAUAUAUGUGUGUAUGUAUGUAUGU